rnacentral:lncRNA from 1 species
GUUCCAGCCUCCUUCUCUGGGAUGCAGAGAGCAUAGAGGGACCACCGGGGGUGCCAUGUUUAUAACAGGAUUCAGCAGAGUUGAAUCAUUCAUAUGUCCAGCUAAGUCUUACUCUUUCGGCUCCAUCCUCCCAGACGGUGCCUCUGGUUGUCGGGUGGCCCCACCAUGUGCAACUAGCUCUCUUCCUUUCAGGGAGAAAAAUGAAGACAUCGAACUUUGGCCUCUGGUCUGCGCUUCAUCUUUACUGGGGAGAGCUGGCCUUAUGGUAGAAAUAUGGUGUUUUGCCUUAUUUGAUUCAGUUCUUUGUGUGCAUACUUUCCUUCAGAAUCCUGGAGGGGAAAAGGGUGUUUGGAGCCCCAGAUCCACUUGUAGCAUUUGGAGUGGGGGAAAUGCCUGGACCAGUAUUGAGGUCACUGUCCCUUUUCCUUUUCAAACCCAGGACAUUUGCUCCUGUGCAGCGACUCUCAAAGGACGGUCCUGGGCCAGUAGCAUCAGCAGCACCUGGGAGCUUGUUAGGAAUGCAGACUCUCAGGUUCACGCCAUGCCCACUGGAUCAGAAACUUUGUAUUGGAACAAGCCUUCUGGGGGGCCCUGAUACACGCUAAUGCUUCACAAAAUACAGAGAAAAACCUGACUAAUCAGCUUCUAAUAUUAAGAGAAUAUUAAUAGAGUUUUGUCAAAAGAUGACAGCCUUGUAAGACUGGGCAUUUCCUUUAGAAUGGAUCCUCUACAUUCUAUCACAUCGCCAAUUUGCAUAAAAGUCCCUGGUGUAGUCACUAGGCAACAACAUUUUAUACAGUAGAAGUCCAGAUAAUAAGAGAUGCGGACACCUCUUCAUCUUACAAGGGGAAGAAACAGAGAGAAAGGCAGAAGAAUAAAGCAAUCAGAUGUGUGUCCUAAAUUUUAUCUUUCCAGGUUCAGAAAUCAAAAAGCAUAUUAGAUAAUUGCAUUCUAGUUACUCCUUGAGCUGUGGUCUGGGGAGUGCCCUCAGAGGAAAAGCGUAUUAAACAUGGAUGUCACCCUAUGUGGUCCUUGCUCCCAGGAUUGAAUCACUUCAGUUUCUAUCUGGUUUCAGUUGCAUUUUUUUUUUUCUGGUGAGGAAGAUUGGCUCUGAGCUAACAUCUGUAGCCCAAAUCUUCCUCUUUUUGGCCCUGAGCUGAUAUCCAUGCCCAUCUUCCUCUAUUUUAUAUGUGGGAUACCUGCCACAGCAUGGCUUGAUAAGUGGUAUGUAGGUUCACACCCAGGAUUUGGACCUGCCAACUGUGGGCCGCCAAAGCACAAUGCACAAAUUUAAACACUACACCACUGGGCUGGCCCCUCUGGUAUUUGAUUCUUAAUAGUUUAUCUAAAGUUGAUCUGUAGGAUGUUUGGUCUAUUGCAAGCCUCUGUGCUAUUUUAGAGACCACACUCAAGCUUGACAUUUUAUUUUCUUGUCCUUUCCUUGGUUCGUGUGUAAAAUUAACAGGAGAUGAGAAUUAUGUGAAAAUUUGGUUGGGA